rnacentral:rRNA from 1 species
UAGCGGAGGGUGCAAGCGUUGGCUCGGAAUCACUGGGCGUAAAGCGACCGCAGGCGGCCUGACAAGUCGGAAUGUGAAAGGCCCUGGGACCUCAACUCAGGAAUUGCAUUCGAAACUGGUAGGCUCGAGUACGGGGAGAGGGGGGUGGAAUUCCUGGUGUAGGGGUGAAAGUUCGUUGAAUAUCAGGAGGAACACCGGCGGGCGAACGGCGG